GACGAACGCUGGCGGCGUGCCUAAUACAUGCAAGUCGAACGCAGUGGGGACGGGUGAGUAACACGUGGGUAACCUCCCAUCAGAGGGGAUAACACUUGGAAACAGGUGCUAAACCGAUAUUGGUGGAUGGACCCGCGGUGCAUUAGCUAGUUGGGGGGGUAACGGCCUACCAAGGCCGCGAUGCAUAGCCGACCUGAGAGGGUGACCGGCCACACUGGAACGGAGACACGGCCCAGACUCCUACGGGAGGCAGCAGUAGGGAAUCUUCGGCAAUGGACGAAAGCCUGACCGAGCAAGGCCGCGUGAGUGAAGAAGGCUUUCGGAUCGUAAAACUCUGUGGUUGGAGAAGCGGUAUCUAACCAGAAAGCCACGGCUAACUACGUGCCAGCAGCCGCGGUAAUUC
rnacentral:rRNA from 1 species